rnacentral:rRNA from 1 species
UACGUAGGGGCAAGCGUUGUCCGGAUUAUUGGGCGUAAAGAGCGUGUAGGCGGCCAGAUAGGUCCGUUGUGAAAACUCGAGGCUCAACCUCGAGACGCCGAUGGAAACCAUCUGGCUAGAGUCCGGAAGAGGAGAGUGGAAUUCCCGGUGUAGCGGUGAAAUGCGCAGAUAUCGGGAAGAACACCCGUGGCUAAGGCGGCUCUCUAGUACGGUACUGACGCUGAGACGGCGAAAGCGUGGG